rnacentral:sRNA from 1 species
GAGCGCCUUGCAGAAAUUCUCGUUGGCAUCGAGGACAUUGCCGGCGAGAUCGAAUUGAAUGAUUGCCUGCGAUUUGGACAAGGCGUCGAUGAUCUGCCGUGCGUCACGGCUCCUG